GACGAACCGAGCGAACGUUAUUCGGAAUCACUGGGCUUAAAGGGUGCGUAGGCGGGCUCGCGAGUCAGGGGUGAAAUCCCACGGCCCAACCGUGGAACUGCUGGGUAUACUGCCUGUCUUGAGCCAGCCAGGGGCAGUCGGAACAGACGGUGGAGCGGUGAAAUGCGUAGAUAUCGUCUGGAACGCCAAAGGUGAAAACAGACUGCUGGGGCUGUGCUGACGCUGAGACACGAAAGCCAGGGGAGCGAACGGG
rnacentral:rRNA from 1 species